UACGGGAGGCAGCAGUGGGGAAUAUUGCACAAUGGGCGCAAGCCUGAUGCAGCCAUGCCGCGUGUAUGAAAAAGGCCUUCGGGUUGUAAAGUACUUUCAGUCGUGAGGAAGGUGUUAAGGUUAAUAACCUUAGCAAUUGACGUUAGCGACAGAAGAAGCACCGGCUAACUCCGUGCCAGCAGCCGCGGUAAUACGGAGGGUGCGAGCGUUAAUCGGAAUUACUGGGCGUAAAGGGCACGCAGGCGGUUAAUUAAGUUGGAUGUGAAAUCCCCGGGCUUAACCUGGGAAUGGCAUUCAAGACUGGUUAGCUAGAGUCUUGUAGAGGGGGUAGAAUUCCAUGUGUAGCGGUGAAAUGCGUAGAGAUGUGGAGGAAUACCGGUGGCGAAGGCGGCCCCUGGACAAAGACUGACGCUCAUGUGCGAAAGCGUGGGGAGCAAACAGGG
rnacentral:rRNA from 1 species